rnacentral:rRNA from 2 species
GAGGGAAACCGAGUCUUAACCGGGCGUUAAGUUGCAGGGUAUAGACCCGAAACCCGGUGAUCUAGCCAUGGGCAGGUUGAAGGUUGGGUAACACUAACUGGAGGACCGAACCGACUAAUGUUGAAAAAUUAGCGGAUGACCUGUGGCUGGGGGUGAAAGGCCAAUCAAACCGGGAGAUAGCUGGUUCUCCCCGAAAGCUAUUUAGGUAGCGCCUCGUGAAUUCAUCUCCGGGGGUAGAGCACUGUUUCGGCUAGGGGGCCAUCCCGGCUUACCAACCCGAUGCAAACUGCGAAUACCGGAGAAUGUUAUCACGGGAGACACACGGCGGGUGCUAACGUCCGUCGUGAAGAGGGAAACAACCCAGACCGCCAGCUAAGGUCCCAAAGUCAUGGUUAAGUGGGAAACGAUGUGGGAAGGCCCAGACAGCCAGGAUGUUGGCUUAGAAGCAGCCAUCAUUUAAAGAAAGCGUAAUAGCUCACUGGUCGAGUCGGCCUGCGCGGAAGAUGUAACGGGGCUAAACCAUGCACCGAAGCUGCGGCAGCGAACGUAUCACCCAAGACAACUUUACGGAGUUGACGAUUGACGGAGCGAAGCGACGUCAAAGCGUUCAUUAAAGUCGAGUUGGCUUAGGGAUACGUUCGUUGGGUAGGGGAGCGUUCUGUAAGCCUGUGAAGGUGUGUCGUGAGGCAUGCUGGAGGUAUCAGAAGUGCGAAUGCUGACAUAAGUAACGAUAAAGCGGGUGAAAAGCCCGCUCGCCGGAAGACCAAGGGUUCCUGUCCAACGUUAAUCGGGGCAGGGUGAGUCGACCCCUAAGGCGAGGCCGAAAGGCGUAGUCGAUGGGAAACGGGUUAAUAUUCCCGUACUUGGUGUUACUGCGAAGGGGGGACGGAGAAGGCUAUGUUGGCCGGGCGACGGUUGUCCCGGUUUAAGCGUGUAGGUGUGUGUUCCAGGUAAAUCCGGUUCACUUUAACACUGAGGCGUGACGACGAGGCACUACGGUGCUGAAGCAACAAAUGCCCUGCUUCCAGGAAAAGCCUCUAAGCAUCAGGUAACAUCAAAUCGUACCCCAAACCGACACAGGUGGUCAGGUAGAGAAUACCAAGGCGCUUGAGAGAACUCGGGUGAAGGAACUAGGCAAAAUGGUGCCGUAACUUCGGGAGAAGGCACGCUGACACGUAGGUGAAGUGAUUUACUCAUGGAGCUGAAGUCAGUCGAAGAUACCAGCUGGCUGCAACUGUUUAUUAAAAACACAGCACUGUGCAAACACGAAAGUGGACGUAUACGGUGUGACGCCUGCCCGGUGCCGGAAGGUUAAUUGAUGGGGUCAGCGCAAGCGAAGCUCCUGAUCGAAGCCCCGGUAAACGGCGGCCGUAACUAUAACGGUCCUAAGGUAGCGAAAUUCCUUGUCGGGUAAGUUCCGACCUGCACGAAUGGCGUAAUGAUGGCCAGGCUGUCUCCACCCGAGACUCAGUGAAAUUGAACUCGCUGUGAAGAUGCAGUGUACCCGCGGCAAGACGGAAAGACCCCGUGAACCUUUACUAUAGCUUGACACUGAACAUUGAGCCUUGAUGUGUAGGAUAGGUGGGAGGCUUUGAAGUGUGGACGCCAGUCUGCAUGGAGCCGACCUUGAAAUACCACCCUUUAAUGUUUGAUGUUCUAACGUGGACCCGUAAUCCGGGUUGCGGACAGUGUCUGGUGGGUAGUUUGACUGGGGCGGUCUCCUCCUAAAGAGUAACGGAGGAGCACGAAGGUUGGCUAAUCCUGGUCGGACAUCAGGAGGUUAGUGCAAUGGCAUAAGCCAGCUUGACUGCGAGCGUGACGGCGCGAGCAGGUGCGAAAG